rnacentral:rRNA from 1 species
CCUACGGGUGGCAGCAGUGAGGAAUAUUGGUCAAUGGGCGCGAGCCUGAACCAGCCAAGUAGCGUGAAGGAUGACUGCCCUACGGGUUGUAAACUUCUUUUAUAAAGGAAUAAAGUGAGGAACGUGUGCCUUUUUGUAUGUACUUGAUGAAUAAGGAUCGGGUAACUCCGGUCCAGCAGCCGCGGGAAGACGGAGGAGCCGAGCGUUAUCCGGAUUUAUUGGGUUUAAAGGGAGCGUAGAUGGGUUGGUAAGUCAGGUGUGAAAGUUUGGGGCUCACACGUAAAAUUGCAAUUGAUACUGGCAGUCUUGAGUACAGUUGAGGGAGGCGGAAUUCGUGGUGUAGCGGUGAAAUGCUUAGAUAUCACGAAGAACUCUGAUUGCGAAGGCAGCUUACUAAACUGCCACUGACAUUGAGGCUCGAAAGUGUGGGUAUCAAACAGGAUUAGAUACCCGUGUAGUC